CCGGGGAAGGGCCGGGGCGCCGGCGGGCUGCCGAGGGAGAGGGCUGGCGGCUGCGAGCUCGAAUGUCUGCUAGAUGUACCAGUGUGGCUUCCAGGAAGCUGAGUGACUCAGAAGUCAGCCACUUCCUCGGGUGGGUCAUCUGCAUGGAGUAAUGAAAGGUUGAUUUGUCUGAGUAGAUGCAGUCACUUACUGGUGUGGCUCAGUGAUAUGAAGGACAGAUUUCUUGUUUGCCUGAAGUUAAAUCCAAGCUGACCUGUCACUACAAAUGGACAGUUUUUCAAACAUGAGGCUUGGUGGAGCAGCUUCUUGGUAUCUCAACUAUGGCAGGCCAACUUUGUGCUAAUGUGGACAUUUCUGUGAAAAAACCUCCAGGAGCAAGCCCUCAGUCCUUCAUUGCUUUGCUGAAGGUUCACCGAGAGCUUCUGGUGGGUAGGAUCAGGAACACGCAGUGUUUGAUUGAUAACUUGAUUAAGAACGACUACUUCUCCACUGAAGAUGCAGAGAUCGUUGUCCAGUUUCCUACUCAAGCAGAUAAGGUUCGCAAAAUUCUAGACUUGGUUCAAAGCAAGGGAGAAGAAGUUUCGGAGUAUUUCGUUUAUGUCCUGCAGAAAGUCACUGAUGCUUACUACGAACUUCAGCCUUGGCUGGAUGAAAUAGGCUAUGAGCCUUCAGAGAAUAUUUGUAGUAAACCUGUGGUAAAUACAGAUCCAGUUAGCAGGUAUUGCCAGAAACUCAGACAUGAACUGGGACGGGACUCCAAGUUUGUUAUGUUGUACGCUCAGAAGGAGGAGAUGCUGCUUGAAGAAAUCUACUCCAACAGUAUUAUGGAGCUGGUCAGUUUUACCAAUGAGAGUCUUGGCCAGGUGGAUCAAUUAGAAGCCCUUUUUGAUGAUGCAGUUGGGCUAAUUAAUGAAGAUGGAGAGACUGUUUAUGUCUAUGGUGACGCAGGAAUUGGAAAAUCCAUCUUGCUGCAAAAGAUACAAAGCCUUUGGGCCAGAAAAGAAUUGGACAUAGGGGCCAAGUUUUUCUUCCGUUUUCGGUGUAGGAUGUUUAGCUGCUUCAAGGAAGAUGAAGCCAUAUGUUUGAAAGACCUGCUCUUCAAAUAUAAUUGCUACCCAGACCAGGACCCCACAGAAGUGUUCCAUCACAUCUUGCAGUUCCCUCACACAGUUCUUUUCACUUUUGAUGGCUUUGAUGAGAUCUAUUCCAACUUUGAUCUCAGCAGCGUACCGGAGAUAUGCUCACCCAAUGAACCCAUCCACCCCCUGGCACUGCUCGUAAGCCUUCUCAGAGGAAAGCUUCUUAAGGGAUCCAAGAAAGUUCUUACCGCCAGGACAGGAACUGAGAUCCAAAAAAACAUCAUUAGGAAGAAAGUGUUGCUCCGCGGUUUCUCCAGGAAUAACCUGAAGGAAUACACAGCUCUGUUUUUCAAAGAUGAGCGGCGUCGAGGACUGGUAUCAAACCAGUUGGAAGCUAACCCAAAUCUCUGCAGUUUAUGUUCAGUGCCUUUAUUUUGCUGGAUUAUCUUCAAAUGCUUUGAGCACUUCCACUCCAUGUUUGACAGCCACGAGCUUCCAGACAGUUCUGUUACAUUAACAGAUGUAUUUUUGCUCAUGAUUGAAGUCCACCUGAACCGAUCUGUGAAAACAAGUUUGCUGAAGAGCAAUAUCAGGAGCCAAGCAGAGAUGUUCAAAUCAAGAAAGGAAAGUCUUCUAGCUUUGGGUAAAAUGGCAUACAAAGGGAUGGAGAGCUCUUCCUUUAUCUUUGAGCAGGAUGAAGUCUCAUCGGCAAACAUCUCUGAAGAAGAUUUGCAAUUGGGCUUUCUCAGGACAGUUAAAGGUUACAGUGGCUGUGACAGUCAGGCCACGUAUGAGUUCUUGCACUUAACCCUUCAGUCUUUUUUCACGGCUUUGUUCUUGGUUAUGGAGGAGAAGGUGGGUCCCGAGGAGUUACUCGAGUUUUUCAAUGAAUGUUCUUCCAUGGAGACUGCCCAGCCUACUUGCCUUCGUAUCCCCUGGUUGAAGAAACAGCUAGCAGGGGAGGAUCCUUUCCAAAAUACAGAACAUUUUAAUUUUACCAACGUGUUUCUUUGUGGCCUACUUUCUGGAUCCAAGGAGAAGCUCUUCAGACAUUUAGUUUCACCUGCGGUCAUUAAGAGGAAGAGAAAAACGCUCAUCACAUACCUAGGGAGGAGCAUGAAAUCCCACCUGAAAGGCUUCACUCGGUCCAGGCUUAAAAGCUACAAUCAGGUGCAGGUGCAGCCCAACUUUGUGUGGAUGCUGAGGUGCCUGUACGAGACGCAGAGUGAGAAGGUGGGCAGGAUGGCAGCCCGCCGCAUGCACGCCAACUACAUCAAGCUGGCCUACUGCAACGCCUGCUCCGCCGACUGCAGCGCCAUUUCCUUUGUCGUGCACCACUUCCAGAAGCGCCUGGCUCUGGAUUUGGACAACAACAACAUCCAUGACUAUGGAAUAAAACAGCUGCAACCUUGUUUCAGCAAGCUUGCAGUGAUCAGGCUCAGUGUAAAUCAGGUCACAGAUCACGGCGUGAAGAUCUUGUAUGAGGAACUCUCCAAGUACCAAAUUGUGUCUUUCUUGGGCUUAUACAACAACCAAAUCACUGAUGUUGGAGCCAAAUAUGUUGCAAAACUAAUUGAAGAGUGUUCAAGCCUGGAAUAUGUUAAAAUAGGAGCAAACAAAAUAACGAGCGAAGGAGGGAAGUGCCUUGCCCAGGCCAUCCAGAAGAGCAAGACAAUGUUUGAAAUUGGGAUGUGGGGUAAUCAAGUUGGAGACGAAGGAGCAAAGGCAUUUGCAGAGGCCCUGAGGAACCACCCCAGGUUAACAAACGUCAGUCUUGCAUUCAAUGGCAUCACGACAGAGGGAGGCAAAAGCAUUGCUGAAGCCAUGCAACACAACAACUCCGUGAGGAUAUUCUGGUUGACUAAAAACGAGCUGGAUGAUGAGGCAGCAAUGAGUUUUGCAGAGAUGCUGAAGGUCAACAAGAAACUGGUGCAUUUAUGGCUUAUCCAGAAUCAAAUUACAGCCAAAGGGGUGAAGUGCCUCAGCGAAGCUCUCAAGGAGAACACAACUAUUCAAGAGAUCUGGACCUAAAUGCCAAACAAGCUGGGCGGUGCUCCAAACAUACUGGAAGUGCUAAGCUACAAGGAGAUUAACUUUUCGUAGGAUUGUUUUAGAUUAGCUUGAACGGGAACCCGAUAAGCCAAGAAGAGGCUAAAGCUUUUGAAAAUGAAGAGCGGAUCAUUUGCUUUUGAAUGAGGACUUUUCCUUUUUGCCAAGUUGGUGUUAACAAAGGUUACUCCUACACUUGGACUGCAGAGUUUAUAAAGGCAUAAAUCUACAGUGCUCGUGGCAGGAGAGAGAUACACAAUAAGCUGCCUUUUUAUGAACACACUGCAUUCCCUCAGCUCCAUCCCUUCCCCUGUCUGUUAUUCUUAAUCCUUUUGGUGAGUGGGAAGUUGCCUGGGUAAAUAAUUAAUGUUUGUUCGGUGCUUUGAAGAUGAAAUGCAAAGUGUUAACAGACUAAAUCCACUGGCAGGUGUAUGCAUUUUGAUAACUGAGUUUAGAUCUAUUCUGUACAGUGAUGUAAAUAAUCUCUUAACUUAUUUAUAUACGUAAAUAAAGACACACAAGUAUACAUAUGCAAGAAAGGGUGCAAGAUGUACAAAUUCCACCAGCUGUGAGUAUUACCUGCCUCAGGACUGAAAAUGAAUAUAUACACAGCUUUACCAGAAAUGGUAUCUAUAGUAGUUGCUUGGUGUCAGUGUUUUGAACAUGAAUUCCUUCUUACUGCCUAGAAAUUAGGUCCCUAUUUCUCCACUGACUACAGGCAGCAUUGUAGACACUGCUUUUUUGUUGUUGUUGUGUUUUUUUGGAUAGGUAGAAAUGGAUGCAUUGAGCUCAGAUUACUUUCAGUAAUCUUUUUUUCCCAUAUCAAAGCAAAUCCAUUUUCUUUCACCCAACCAGAAGUCCUUACUGCCAUCACUGUAAAACUGUAACACAAGCAGGGAACCACUUCUGCUUCACACUUCCAGAGGGUUGUGUAGAAACGGCUGUGUCCUGUUUCCACCGUGUUUGUUCUGGGGAGGGGGUCUGGAGAGAAAUGUGAACAAUUAAUUAGCAGGCUGUUCAUUGCCUUGGCUCCUGGCCUAGCACUGUGCUGGUGGCACUACACCAAUAUCAUGUUGCCCAGCAUCAGUGGGCAGAAAGGGCGAUUGAAAAUCAACUGCGUCAAGUAGAAAUCCUUUCUCCCGGCAACAGGCAAGCACACAGGAAGAUUGAGAUUGGCUUGGAAAGCUUUCAGUCUAUGCUUGAAUCAGUGGACAGAGCAAGGCAAGGGGCAGUAGUAAUAAUAAGGACCAGCAAGAAAACAUUAUCCUCCCCCAAAUGAUUACUGUUUAGGGAGUGUAACCUUAGAGGCUUUAAAAGAAACCAGUUAGCAAAGGAGUGGGGUAUUUGAUUAUUUUUUGUGGGAGCUUUAUAAACUCAGACUCUACCCCACAGUGUAGAGGCAGAGUUGAGUUUAUAAACCUAAAAUGGAAAGGUGUGAGCCAUUUUCGUUCCUUCUCCCAUGUUGCCAUCCCCACUCCCCAAACUCUGCGAAACAAUUCUCCAGUUGCUGACUAACCCACAAAACCUUGGUAGGCUGGAAGAAGAAUCUCCGGUUAAAAUGCCAACCAAUGAACCCUCACCUCCCCAUCUCUCAGAUCUGGCCCAUGAAGCAAAGAAAAUGCUUGCUUUGCAGGUCAGAGCUUCUCCAUUUCCUAUGUGGUAGCAAAACUUUCCCAGUCUUCAGUUCUGUUUACUCCCUUCAGCUCCCUAACACAUUUUAAAAUACUCUUAGGGCUUCUCACAAAACCUGCAGUGACAAAGGAAAAAAAGGGAAGAAAACCAACUUAGUUAUUUUUCAGUGGCUUUUCCUCUGUGCCUGUGGUAUCAACACUGAUUUUUCACAGGGAGACAGAUGAGGUUUUUCAACCAUGCCAGAGGGAACUCAGCUAACUUGAAUGAUUUCUGCACCUGAGCCAUUUGUUUACUGAAGCAAAAGGGCACACAAUUACAGAUGAGCUGGAUUUCAAUUGCCAAAACAUCUGCCAAAGCAAAUCCUUUAAAGACUUCUCAGUGACUUUAACAAAUCAGAGACUCAUGCACCUUGUCAAAGUGUGUUUUGCCAGCCUACUCUGAUGGAAGGGAGAAGAUACCAGUGUAAGGAAGGACUUUCACCAGAGGUGUAGUUUGCCUGGGUUUGAGGAAGUGUGGUCCUAUGUUGCUCUAAUCACAGAAUUAUUUGUUCAUUUACCAGGUAGAAAAUAUACUUAAAACUACAGUUCCUGUCCUUAUUUCACUCACUGACUAAAAUAGCUCCCCCCAAGCUUUCCAGUGCAGUCACAUCUGCCCCUUUUUUUGGGCUAGAGCAGCCUUUGGCAUUGUUUGUAGUGGCAAGCUCAGCCCUGUUGCAAAUCCUGUUCCAUACCUGGCUGUUAGAAGCGGGGCAUCCAGGCAGUGUUUUCAGGGGCAGCAGCAUUUACAGGGCUGCAGCAGCUAAGUGCAGCCUCAGGGUAGGCAGGAUCAAGCCCAGCUCCAUAUAGGACAGAGUUGGGCACUGAACAAGAUUACAGUGCCGGAGACAGAGCCAGUCACAGCCACUCCUUCCGGAGGUGAUUUUGGGCAGCAAACACUUGUUUGGACUGGGUUGAAGGUCUGAGCACAGCUCACUCUGGGUUUGACAAAAUCAAGUGGUUUCAUAGCAUCCUGCUCCCAGCUCACCCAGAGCAGGGGCUCAGCUCCCACAGCUCUGGGAGUCAUGCUGGGCAAACUGGUUGCUGCUCUGGGAGCAGCCAGACAUCCCUUGUUUAUCUGCACAGUGUUUCUGGCUGAAGCUCUUCCAGUCAUACCAGCCCCUUUGUAAGGGGCAUUGGAGCAACACUUCUGCAGCUUGCAGCGAGAGCCUUGUUUACUCAGAGACAACUGUAACUUUUUAAAGACUUGUUUGUAAUUUGCUGAAGCCUUCUCUGUACACUGCGUCAUGUUUUUCCACUCGUCCACUGUGAUAAUAAACAGCUUUUUAAA